CCUACGGGGGGCAGCAGUGGGGAAUAUUGGGCAAUGGGCGCAAGCCUGACCCAGCAACGCCGCGUGAAGGAAGAAGGCCCUCGGGUGGUAAACUUCUUGUAGCAAGGACGAAACAAAUGACGGUACUGGAUGAAUAAGCCACGGCUAACGACGUGCCAGCAGCCGCGGGAAUACGUAGGGGGCAAGCGUUAUCCGGAUUUCCUGGGGGUAAAGGGCGUGGAGGCGGGACUGCCAGUCAGAUGUGAAAACCAGGGGCUCAACCCCUGGCCUGCAUUUGAAACUGUAGUUCUUGAGUGUUGGAGAGCCAGGCGUCUUUCCGUGUGUAGCGGUUAAAUGCUUAGAUAUCCGG
rnacentral:rRNA from 1 species